rnacentral:rRNA from 2 species
AACGCUAGCUACAGGCUUAACACAUGCAAGUCGAGGGGCAGCAUCAUCAAAGCUUGCUUUGAUGGAUGGCGACCGGCGCACGGGUGAGUAACACGUAUCCAACCUGCCGACAACACUGGGAUAGCCUUUCGAAAGAAAGAUUAAUACCGGAUGGCAUAGUUUUCCCGCAUGGGAUAAUUAUUAAAGAAUUUCGGUUGUCGAUGGGGAUGCGUUCCAUUAGGCAGUUGGCGGGGUAACGGCCCACCAAACCAACGAUGGAUAGGGGUUCUGAGAGGAAGGUCCCCCACAUUGGAACUGAGACACGGUCCAAACUCCUACGGGAGGCAGCAGUGAGGAAUAUUGGUCAAUGGACGAGAGUCUGAACCAGCCAAGUAGCGUGAAGGAUGACUGCCCUAUGGGUUGUAAACUUCUUUUAUACGGGAAUAAAGUUAGCCACGUGUGGCUUUUUGUAUGUACCGUAUGAAUAAGGAUCGGCUAACUCCGUGCCAGCAGCCGCGGUAAUACGGAGGAUCCGAGCGUUAUCCGGAUUUAUUGGGUUUAAAGGGAGCGUAGGCGGGUUGUUAAGUCAGUUGUGAAAGUUUGCGGCUCAACCGUAAAAUUGCAGUUGAUACUGGCGACCUUGAGUGCAACAGAGGUAGGCGGAAUUCGUGGUGUAGCGGUGAAAUGCUUAGAUAUCACGAAGAACUCCGAUUG